GAAACCUCGGAUUUGUUAAGGUCUUCAUGGAAGAUUCCGAAAUAAACAAAAGAACCUUCGAUCAAAAAGGUGUAUGCUCUGUUUCUAAUGGUGUGAGAGAAGAUGGAGUGAUGAGGAGGAGUUUUCUCGAUACAUCUGAAAGGUAAGUCAUCGAGAUUUGGUUCUCUUGUGAAUUCAGCGAGGAUUAUAGUUCCUCUUGCAAUGCAGGAAUAUAAGACGAGAUCUGGAUUGGAAACCAUUAACGGAUUUCAGAAGAAACAAAUCACUAGUCUCGAUUCUUGAAUAAUGGAAUUCAGAUUCUCAAAGUGGAAGGAAUCCGAUCAAACGGAAUGAGAUCACAGAAGAAUCAAUUCUACAGUAGGUUUGACGGAUUUCACCAAAAUCAGGUACUCUUCUUCAUACACAUUUUUCAAUUUCUUCGAACGGAAUACAAAUGAUUUCUUUGUUAAUUCUUCAUCCUUCUCACCAAAUUGAAUUGGUGAAAAGAGAAAUGAAAAAAAUUAUCUCUCUAGGGUUUGGAUUUUCUGUUGGAUGAAGAUGAAGAUUAAGAAGACGGGAUUAUUUUUUCUUUUUUCUUUUUCCUUUUACUUUUUUGGUUUGAAGAAAAAAAUAAAAACUAAGAAACCAACAAGAAAAACGAUUGCCAGCGUGGCACUCGCCCCCUAUAAAUUCCUGAUAUUACGUAAAACCCCCUCAAAAUUCUGUGCUUUCACUUAACAGUCCUUAUCAUCGAAAUUGCAAUAAUAAUAAUAUAAAAUAAAACAAAAGACAAUAAAUUCUCCUUUUAUACUCAUUCGAUCCUUAACGUUUUUGUUUAUUUUUAUUUUUUUAGAGGUGUUUGGUAACAUUUUUUAUUUCUCGUUUUUAAAAAAAUAGAAACGUUUCUCAUUUUAUAAUAAAUUAUAGGAAUAAGAAAAAAUAGUUUUUCUCAUUAUUCUCGUUUCUUACUUAUUUUUAUUGGUUUUCUUUUCUUUUUCUCAGUUUAUUUUAUUGGUUUCUUUUUUCUUCUUUUCAAUCCUUUUGCUAUUCCUUUUUUUCUUCCUCUUAUCUCCAUCGUCUUUCCUAAAUAACCAUCAUCUUCGUUGUCUUCCUGUUCGCCUUUCAUCGUCUUCCUUUACACGACAUCUUCUUCUUCACUGGAUCUAAGAUUUUCUCUUCCUCUUUGCGUGAAUUGUGUUUUCGCCGAACUUGUAGGUUUUUGUCGAAUAUGUGUUUCAACCGUGAGUUUCCGUCUUCCUCUUUGUCGUGGGUUUUGGUUCUCCUCUUCGUGGUGGGUUUUUGUCUUUCUCUCGUCGACUUUUUUCUUCAGAUCUCAAUGUGCAUCUUGUUCUCCAUAAGACUACAAAAAGACCUUAUUAUCUAGGUUUGAUAAUUUUAUUCUUUUAUGUUUAGUGGAGGACAUAUAUUUUUGUUUGAUGUUUAAUUGAAUUAAAUGCGAAUAAAACAAAAAAUAAAUUUCAAAGAAAAUUAGGAAACAAGAAACAGUUAUUAAGCACAUUUUCUGUUUCUGUUUUUUUUUUUUAAGAAACAAGAAAUAUAAACAAUUAUAAACACAUUCUUGUUCCUUAUUCUAAAAAAAGAAGGAACACGAAACCAAAACUAAAACAUAAAACAAGAAAUAGAAAACGAGAAAGUUACCAAACAGAUCCUAAAAUUUUAAGAUGAACUUUUUUAGCCUUAGAUUUUAAAAAGGUUCAACCAUCAUACUUCAAUAGUUUUUAAAAUUAUGUUACGUUUAAAAUUUAUUCUUUUCAUUUAAAAUUUCAUAUAAUUAUUUUAAUUAUAAGUAUAAAGAUAUUCAAUGAAUCUUUUGAACAUACUUUUAAAGGAUUUGAGGGAUAUACUUCGAAUUAAAAUUUAGUUCCAAACCGACAUAUUGUUUUAUACUUAGGGACUAAAAAAGUAAUAUUCUUUAAAAAAAAUAAAAGAAGAAUAAGCACAAAUUGCAAAAACCAUCUAUAAUGGUAGUUGCAAUUAUACCCCUUAGACUUAAAAAAAAAUGAUAAAUACACUCCUAAACUUCUAAAAAUAUAUAUUGAAAUUUGAUCUAAAAACAUACAAUAAUUGUAAAAAUUAAAUUGAAUCCUUUAAUUUAUAUAAUUAUCCCGUUUAUACAACUAUGUAAUUUUGUAAGUGUAAUUUUAAAAUUCGAAUAGCUUUGAGAACUCAACUUAUAAUUUCAAAAUUUUAAAAGGAUGAUUUUGCAAUUUGUCUAAAGAUUAAACUCUCUUUUUCUCCCUCUUGGAAGAGAUAGAGAUGAACUGUACACAUUGACAUUUAGCUUUUAUGGAAAUUUGUUUGCUUAUGAUAAUUUUUUUUUACAGAUUUUAGAGCUAAUUUUAACAAUUAGGUUAAUUUAUUUAUGGAUAAUCACGAAUGUAAUUUUUAUUUUUAAAUUUCAUAACAUUUAUUUUAAGUUUUUCAAAUAAAUAUAAACAAACUUUUGCAAUAGAAAGUUAAUAAUAAAAACAGUUUGUAAUAGAAAGUUAAUAGUAAAAACACUGUAUUGAGUGAGCUGUGAUAAUUAUUAGAAUCUUAGUUUUUAGGUAAUUUGUACUAUUGAUGUUAUUCUUCGUUACUUUUCUUUCUAAAAAUAUAUAGUCUAGGAGAUCGAACCUCAAAUUUUAAAACUGUCGUUAAAAGAUGAGUUAUGUUUGCAUUGAUAAUCUGGUUUACUAAAUAACAAUAAAAAGUUUAGUUUUCAAUUAGUAAAUAAACAAAAACAAAUAUUUAAGAAAAAAAUAUGGUAGUUGUAAGUAAUGGAUGAAAAACUAGAAAAUUAUACGUUCUUUUGAAUGACAACGUAAAAAAAAUAAGAGAUAAGAAUGAGACUAACACGAGUUUUGAAUAAUCUAACGAGAUUUCACUAAAAUAAAAUGUUUCAAAAUUGAUGGCGUGUUAAAUCAAUGUAUCUAUUCAUAUAAUUUAUUAACCACUAUCAAUAUAUAUAUAUAUAUAAAAAUCAUUCUCAUUCAUGUGAAGUAAAUCGGAUUAAAGAAAUGAAUCCAUCAUAGAUUAUAUCAUAACUAACACGAACAAAAUAUUUACAAAAUGUGAUACUCUGUCAAGGAUAAACGAAGAUACGUGGCCGUUUGUGUUUAUAUAACUUGAUCUAUAGUAGUUUGCGAUAUUCGCAAAUUCGUUUAAAAAAAGAAUUGCAUUUAAAAUAAUUUAUCAAAUAAAUAUGUAGAGAGGUUGGAUAAGAUAAAAGUAGGAGAAGGUAAGAUAGUUUCUUUUGGUAGGAACAUAUUAAAUUCUCUUAAUCAAUAGAUUGUACUCUUUUGUUCUUUGAUUAUAUAUAUCAAAAAGAAAGAGAGUGGAAAGAAAAAAAGUUUGAAUUUAUACAAAAAUGAUGGUAUAUUUGAAAAUUUAUGGUUUGGAGAUUACAUAUUUUGAAGCUCUUGAAACUGAUUGAAGAAACAAAAGAGAAACAAUGGGAACAACAUCCUCAUAUCUGUUGGGCCAAACAGAUUUUUGGCUUUGGCUAUUGACUAUUCUUCCUCUUAUUCUUAUCAUAAUUAUGAUUAUAGCUGAAUCUGUUUCCUCCUUUUCUUGCAUCUGAAAUCAAUUGCUUCUUGAACAUUACAAUGAAAGCUUCAACUCUUUCAUUCAAUUCCUCUUUUGAUAACUCUAUUUCUUCUUCUUCUUCUUCUUCAAUUUCAUCUUCUUCUUUGAUUUCAUCUUCUUCUUUUAUAGCCUCUUUGAUCUCUCUGUUUUCAAUCUUCUUCUGCUUUGUUUUAUCUUCUUCUUUCUUAGCCUCCUCCAACUCUCUCUUUUCAAUCUUCUUCAGCUUUGUUUUACCACUUGUCUCUUGUUUUUGGGUUUCACUGUAAUUUGCAGGAUUUGCAGGAUUUGAAGUGAAGAAAAUUGCAACAAGAAUAAGGUUUAAAACAAGGAAAACCCAGAUCCGCCAUUGCUCAACCAAGAACAUAACAACAGCUAAUUUCUUCAAGCAAGUUGCCAUUAACAAUGCUGUUCCAGCUGAUAACAAAGCAUUCCUUAUAGAAUCUUUAUCUUCAAACUCUCCUCCUUGCUUUAAUUCUCUGUUAAUUUCUUCUGUCCUCCACAUGUUUGAUGAAAUUACUCACAAAUUUUUUUAAAUGGGUUUGCUUCAAGUUAAACUCCCAAAAUUUCGGUGGGUUUAUAUAGAGGAAUUGAGUAUUGUUUUUUGGUGGGUUGUGAGAUGAGAGUGGGGCCAACAAUGGAAGCAGGCUUUAAUGAUAUCUAAGGGGACAAAGGUGCAGUUGCUGGGGAAGACAAGAAGACAGAGAUGUUAAAGCCUGCAAUUUUUCACUGCCAUUGCCAUUGCCUUUUCUUUUUUUUAAAAAAAAAAAAAAAAACUUUUUCUUGGUUUGUUUAUGAUUGCUUUGAUUCAAGUUAGGAAAAGGUUUUUGAAGUUGGGAAGGUGGUGCUAAGAUUUGUUCAAAUGUUUCAUUGUUGGGGCCUGGCGUGCUCUAUUUCUUUCAUUCUAUCAAAGUUUUAUAAUGCUACUUUUUUUUAACUUUGUUGGAAAUCGGUCACACCUCUAAGUUCUCAAACUUAUGAAAAAUUAAUUCAUAAGUAGAUAUUAUAAAUUGAACUCAUAUCUACCUACUUAUGAGUUAAUUAUUCAUAAGUUUUUCACAUACCUAAAUGUUGUAGAGUUAGUCCGGUUGUUCAAUAAGAAUAGUUGAGGUGGAUGUAAAUUUUUUCCAAACACCCACAAAUAUAAAAUAAAUAAAUAACUCAAAUAGGAUUUUAGAUUACUAUUCUGUAUGUAAUUGUAUUCAGCAAGAAGAAUUUUUUUUUCUUAAUUUCUAAAAAGUGUUGGGUUAUUUUAUUAGUUGUCAUCCUUACGUCACAAGGAAUUGACCCAUAUAGUUAUAGUGAAAAAUGCAAAAUAUCACUCUUGUAAUCUUAAGCAUUGAAUUAUGUUCUCAGCAUUUUAAAAGAAAAAAUGUUUCAUUGCAUCUUGAAAAGGUUCACUUUAGCCUUUUCAAGCUUUGUUUUUGAGAAAUUUCAAUGAGAUGAGUAAUAUUAGGGUAACUUGAAGCUUUGGCCUUCUUACAAAACAUCAUCAUAGCAACAAACAUGAGUCUUUUCUCAUUAUGGCUAAUGUAUAAUCCAUUCUUUACGACACCUUUGUCGUAGUGCGAAUAAAAUUGAACUUUUUGUUGGGGAUUUGGUAUAAAAGCAAACAAGGCAAGUGAAUGAAACUGAACUUUAACACGAAAAAAAAAAUUAACCUGAACUAGAAAAAAAACGUCAUUGCAAGGAUUUGAACAUAAAACUUAAGCUAAUGUGUUUUUUUUUGCUUUUGAAAUUUAUCUUUGUUUCUUCUCAAUUUAUCUUAUGAUUUUUGUUUUCUUUAGUUUAAGCAACAUUUAAAUUCAUCAAAGUGAGCUUAACUAAGUGGUGUUGACAUGAUUUUCAUACUAGUAGUAAAAAGAUAUAAGAAAUAUUGAAUUUCCAGUUAAGUUCUAAAACAAAAAUAAGCUUUUCAAAUCUAAUUUUUUUUAGUUUGAAAUUGCCUGGUAGAAAAUGGAUAUAUGCUUAAAGAAAUCUAUUUGAAUCAAAGAAGAACGAAAUAAAAUAUUGGGAGGAGAGAAUCCAAUGUCUUGGAAAGGGAUAAUCAGGUGCAAAAGAUCUCAUUUUCUUUCCUUUUAGCGCUAAAAAGUCUCAGCUUUCAUCAGUCAGAGAAGCAAUGUAAUGUCAAUGUCAAUGCCAAUGAUGAAGAAACAUCAAUUCAAAAAUAAGAAAGGAAAAAGAAAAGGUAGACAUAUAAAUUCAAAGGCAUGCUUACUUCAACACAUCUUGUGUUACAUGUAUCAUCACAAAAUGGACCCUACUUGUUUCAUUUUUACAUAAUCAACACGUUGAAGCUAAUAAUUAAUUACUACUCCUCAAUCCUCCUAUCUUCUUUUUGUUAUUGAUUCAUGUUUCUAUAAAUUAAACUAAAUAAAUAUUUAGCCAUAAACUAUGUGAAGAAGACACAAGUAAAAAACUGCACAGAAUGAUCUAUUCAUCUCUCUCUCUCUCUCUCUCUCUCUCUCAUUAAAUGAAUCUAAACACCAAUCAAGUGGAUUUUUUUGGAAAAGAAAAUUCUGAAGAACAACUCACAGGAGGGCUGACGUGCUUGAUUCCCAAUCAUUAUCUAGGUUCUGAUGGUGUUGAAGGAUGAAAAGAAAUCACCAUUAUUACUCCCAUCUUUUUCUAGACAAGGAUACGAGCUGCCGGAAAAAAUAAAAAGGUAAAAAGUUAGCUAUUUGAAACAAUGCACUUAAGAUUUUAACCAACCAAAUGAUGAGAAAGUAAGGACAGAAAUUCAUUAAGUGCUUGUGCAAGUGUUCUAUAAAGAUCAUGGAAAUUGCAAGGAACAUAAUCAAUAGUAGUCUUACUAAAAUUAUAGUGCGAAAAAGUGGAAAAGGAAAUCUUUUUGCUUCAAAUUUCACAUUAAAAUUUUCUAGUCGAACGUUGAAAACUUAACUCUAAAACUUAAAGGUGUGUUUCGAUUAUCUUCCAAGAGUUUAAUUUUAAAAAAAAGUUAAAUUGAAGUUCGAUAAAUACUAAAAAUAACUUUGAAACGCUUUUAAAACAACAUUUUUUAGAUUUUUUUUCUCUAGUCAAUCCAAAAAGCCUCCAAAUAAUGCAAGCCAGAGCAACUACUAGAUAAAGUCUCAACAUCCUAUAUCAGUUCAUCACACGUUCAAAAUUGAAAAGGGAGAAUGUGUAAGAAACCUGACGAGCAACUUGAGACAACUGUCGACUCUCCCUCGUCGAUUCUCCGAUCAAGUUAGACCUCUCAAACUCAGGCUCAAACUUUAGUUUCUCACGCAAACUUUUUGCAUUGCUCUUUCCUGGAGAAAUAUUUUCAUCAGAAAUGUCUAUUGCUUCCCUCUUGCGUUUUCUUUGCCUUGUACAUCUAAGAAUCAUUUUCUUGUCUACUUGGCAAGGAGAAUAGUUUGUAACUUCACAUAUUUGCUCGCAUUUUGUAUCAGGAUUCAUUUCAGAGUUCGACUUAGAACUUGGAAAAAUCAAAUUCCUAAUUCCACCACUAUCCUGUUUCACCGUCAAUGCAGUCAAAUCUUUCUUACUGUGUGCUGCAUUCUCGAGGACUUUGGAUUUAUUGACCUUAACACUGGCAGUAACACUAGGGAGAACUGAUAAAGAAUCAAUAUAACUUUCUGUUGAUGCGAGUUCUGGAUCCAAGCAGGUUAAUUUCUU
rnacentral:lncRNA from 1 species